GGGCCGUCUCGGCAGGCUCCGGACUGUGGGCCGUCUCGGCAGGCUCCGGACUGUGGGCCGUCUCGGCAGGCUCCGGACUGUGGGCCGUCUCUGCAGGCUCUGGACUGUGGGCCGUCUCGGCAGGCUCCGGACUGUGGGCCGUCUAGGCAGGCUCCGAACUGUGGGCCAUCUCUAGACGGGGCACUGUCGCCGGAAGCUCUGGAUGGGGAACUGUUGCCGGAAGUUCUGGACGGGGAACUGUCGCCGGAAGCUCUGGACGGGGAUCUGUCGCCGGAAGCUCUGGAUGGGGACUUUCCGUAGGCCUGGCUCUGGGCGCAGGCACAGGACGCACCAGGCUGGGGAGACUUGCAGGAGGCCUGGCUCUGGGCACAGGCACAGGAUUCAUCAGGCUGGGGAGACAUGCAGGAGGACUGGCUCUGGGCGCAGGCACAGGAUCCACCAGGCUGGGGAGACAUGCAGGAGGCCUGGCUCUGGGCGCAGGCACAGGAUCCACCAGGCUGGGGAGACAUGCAGGAGGCCUGUCUCUGGACGUCGGCACAGGAUUCACCAGGCUGGGGAGACAUGCAGGAAGCCUGGCUUGGGAGCAGGCACAAGACGUGCAGGGCUGGGGAGGCGCACAGGAGGCCUGGUGCGUGGGGCUGGCACAGUCUUCACCAGACGGCUAGCACGCACCUCAGGACGAGUAUGGAGAGCUGACCUAGGUGACAUCAAAUUGAGGACACGCUCCGUAGGGCGAAUGUCGUGCCUCAUGCACCAACACAGCAGCUCUCUCAUAUCUCUCUCCUCCAAUCUCCCCAUCAACUCCUUCACUGUCUCUGCUUCGCUCCCGUCGCUCACCUCCAACUUCACCCCGACUGGCUCUGGUUCCAUCCUCGGCACCGCCGACCGUCCUGUGUGCCCCCCCCAAAAUAAUCUUGGGGCUGCCUCUCCUCCUCUUGCCGUGCCUGCUGAUCCUCCCAGAAACGCCGUUCUGCCUUCGCUGCCUCUAUCUCCUCCGGCG
rnacentral:lncRNA from 1 species